UACAGAGGGUGCAAACGUUGCUCGAAUUAUUGGUCGGUAAGCAGCACGUAGGCGGUUCGUUAAGUCGGAUGUGAAAGCCCUCGGCUCAACUGAGGAAGUGCACCCGAAACUGGCGAGCUUGAGUACGAAAGAGGAUCGCGGAAUUCCCGGUGUAGAGGUGAAAUUCGUAGAUAUCGGGGAGGAACACCGGUGGCGAAGGCGGCGAUCUGGGUCGAUACUGACGCUGAGGUGCGAAAGCGUGGGGAGCAAACAGG
rnacentral:rRNA from 1 species